rnacentral:rRNA from 1 species
GGUUAAGCGACUAAGCGUACACGGUGGAUGCCCUGGCAGUCAGAGGCGAUGAAGGACGUGCUAAUCUGCGAUAAGCGUCGGUAAGGUGAUAUGAACCGUUAUAACCGGCGAUUUCCGAAUGGGGAAACCCAGUGUGAUUCGUCACACUAUCAUUAACUGAAUCCAUAGGUUAAUGAGGCGAACCGGGGGAACUGAAACAUCUAAGUACCCCGAGGAAAAGAAAUCAACCGAGAUUCCCCCAGUAGCGGCGAGCGAACGGGGAGCAGCCCAGAGCCUGAAUCAGUGUGUGUGUUAGUGGAAGCGUCUGGAAAGGCGCGCGAUACAGGGUGACAGCCCCGUACACAAAAAUGCACAUAUUGUGAGCUCGAUGAGUAGGGCGGGACACGUGGUAUCCUGUCUGAAUAUGGGGGGACCAUCCUCCAAGGCUAAAUACUCCUGACUGACCGAUAGUGAACCAGUACCGUGAGGGAAAGGCGAAAAGAAC